CCGCAUUUUUCAGAAGGGCUGCGCACUUCCUGUUUGCUGUCAACACAGUGUUAGUGAUGGCGUUUUUCACUCGAUCACUGCAGGACUUGCCAACAAUAUCUGUUAAUGAUGUCUACAGAAUUAUUCAGACUUUCUCGAAAGCGCCCACAUCUAAAAAGGACAAAGGAUUCAAGCUUUAUGUGUCCAACUACAUAAAUAAGUACGAAGAUGGUGCUGAGGGAAUCAAAGCCGGUGGAGUUUCAGGGAUGUCAGUGCACCUGUGUGGCAGGUACAGUCCUGUGCAGCCAUGUGGCAGCUCUGCUUUUCCAGACGGCUCACUACUCCCAGUUGAAGCUUCCAGCUGUUCCUCCAGUCCUAAGCUGCACAGACACCGAACAAAAGUGGCAUAAACCGAGGACAAUGGGCAUAAAACCUGGUCCAGUUAAGGACAUGGUCGUCCUGUCAGCAAAACCAAGAGAGAGGAAAAUCUUUG